GACGAACGCUGGCGGCGUGCCUAAUACAUGCAAGUCGAACGGUCUUUUCUAUGGAAGCUUGCUUCCGCUGAGAAGAUAGUGGCGAACGGGUGAGUAUCACGUGGGUAACCUGCCCAUAAGAGGGGGAUAACAUCCGGAAACGGGUGCUAAUACCGCAUAGUUUACUUGAUCGCAUGAUUGAGAAAGGAAAGACGGCCUUCGUGCUGUCGCUUAUGGAUGGACACGCGGCGUAUUAGUUAGUUGGUGAGGUAACGGCUCACCAAGACGAUGAUACGUAGCCGACCUGAGAGGGUGAUCGGCCAGAUUGGGACUGAGACACGGCCCAAACUCCUACGGGAGGCAGCAGUAGGGAAUCUUCCGCAAUGGACGAAAGUCUGACGGAGCAACGCCGCGUGAGUGAAGAAGGUUUUCGGAUCGUAAAACUCUGUUGUCAGAGAAGAACAAGUCGGAGAGUAACUGCUCCGGCCUUGACGGUAUCUGACCAGAAAGCCACGGCUAACUACGUGCCAGCAGCCGCCGCCGUAA
rnacentral:rRNA from 1 species